rnacentral:rRNA from 1 species
UACGUAGGGUGCGAGCGUUGUCCGGAAUUAUUGGGCGUAAAGAGCUUGUAGGCGGUCUGUCGCGUCUGCUGUGAAAACCCGCGGCUCAACUGCGGGCCUGCAGCCGAUACGGCCAGGCUAGAGUUCGGUAGGGGAGACUGGAAUUCCUGGUGUAGCGGUGAAAUGCGCAGAUAUCAGGAGGAACACCGGUGGCGAAGGCGGGUCUCUGGGCCGAUACUGACGCUGAGGAGCGAAAGCGUGGGGAGCGAACAGG